rnacentral:rRNA from 1 species
GACGAACGCUGGCGGCGUGCUUAACACAUGCAAGUCGAGCGGAAAGGCCACUUCGGUGGUACUCGAGCGGCGAACGGGUGAGUAACACGUGAGUAAUCUGCCCCUGGCUUUGGGAUAGCCACCGGAAACGGUGAUUAAUACCGGAUACGACCACUUCUCGCAUGGGAUGGUGGUGGAAAGUUUUUUCGGCCAGGGAUGUGCUCGCGGCCUAUCAGCUUGAUGGUGAGGUAAUGGCUCACCAUGGCUUCGACGGGUAGCCGGCCUGAGAGGGUGAGCGGUCACACUGGGACUGCGACACGGCCCAGACUCCUACGGGAGGCAGCAGUGGGGAAUAUUGGACAAUGGGCGGAAGCCUGAUCCAGCAACGCCGCGUGAGGGAUGACGGCCUUCGGGUUGUAAACCUCUUUCAGCAGGGACGAAGCGCAAGUGACGGUACCUGCAGAAGAAGCACCGGCCAACUACGUGCCAGCAGCCGCGGUAA